rnacentral:rRNA from 1 species
GGGGGAAUAUUGGACAAUGGGCGCAAGCCUGAUCCAGCCAUGCCGCGUGAGGGAUGAAGGCCCUAGGGUUGUAAAGCCCUUUCACCGGUGAAGAUAAUGACGGUAACCGGAGAAGAAGCCCCGGCUAACUUCGUGCCAGCAGCCGCGGUAAUACGAAGGGGGCUAGCGUUGUUCGGAUUUACUGGGCGUAAAGCGCACGUAGGCGGACUUUUAAGUCAGGGGUGAAAUCCCGGGGCUCAACCCCGGAACUGCCUUUGAUACUGGAAGUCUUGAGUAUGGUAGAGGUGAGUGGAAUUCCGAGUGUAGAGGUGAAAUUCGUAGAUAUUCGGGGGAACACCAGUGGCGAAGGCGGCUCACUGGACCAUUAAUGACGCUGAGGUGCGAAAGCGUGGGGAGCAAACAGG